rnacentral:rRNA from 1 species
UGGAAUUUUGGACAAUGGGCGCAAGCCUGAUCCAGCCAUGCCGCGUGCAGGAUGAAGGCCUUCAGGUUGUAAACUGCUUUUGUACGGAACGAAAAGUCUCUUUCUAAUAAAGAGGGAUCAUGACGGUACCGUAAGAAUAAGCACCGGCUAACUACGUGCCAGCAGCCGCGGUAAUACGUAGGGUGCAAGCGUUAAUCGGAAUUACUGGGCGUAAAGCGUGCGCAGGCGGUUAUGUAAGACAGUUGUGAAAUCCCCGGGCUCAACCUGGGAACUGCAUCUGUGACUGCAUAGCUAGAGUACGGUAGAGGGGGAUGGAAUUCCGCGUGUAGCAGUGAAAUGCGUAGAUAUGCGGAGGAACACCGAUGGCGAAGGCAAUCCCCUGGACCUGUACUGACGCUCAUGCACGAAAGCGUGGGGAGCAAACA